GUGAACGCUGGCGGCAGGCCUAACACAUGCAAGUCGAACGGCAGCACAAGAGAGCUUGCUCUCUGGGUGGCGAGUGGCGGCCGGGUGAGGAAUGCAUCGGAAUCUGCCCAUUUGUGGGGGAUAACCUCGGGAAACCGGGACUAAUACCGCAUACGACCUACGGGUGAAAGCAGGGGAUCUUCGGACCUUGCGCAGAUGGAUGAGCCGAUGCCGGAUUAGCUAGUUGGAGGGGUAAAGGCCCACCAAGGCGACGAUCCGUAGCUGGUCUGAGAGGGUGAUCAGCCACACUGGGACUGAGACACGGCCCAGACUCCUACGGGAGGCAGCAGUGGGGAAUCUUGGACAAUGGGCGCAAGCCUGAUCCAGCCAUGCCGCGUGUGUGAAGAAGGCCUUCGGGUUGUAAAGCACUUUUGUUGGGAAAGAAAAGCAGCCGGUUAAUACCCGGUUGUCAUGACGGUACCCAAAGAAUAAGCACCGGCUAACUUCGUG
rnacentral:rRNA from 1 species